AAUAAGAUCAUUUUUUAGUUUUUUGAUACAAUGUUUUGACUCUUCGUCUUAUUUAAAAUUUUUUAUGAUUAAUAUUUUUAUUCUGACUAGAUGAUAAAACAUGAAUAGUACUUUAUACAUAACUAAUUUUUUUAAUUUUUUGUACAAUUUUUUCAAAUAAGACGAAUGGUCAAACGUUGAACAUAGAAAAAC
rnacentral:pre_miRNA from 1 species